rnacentral:rRNA from 1 species
UACGGGGGGGCAAGCGUUGUUCGGAAUUACUGGGCGUAAAGGGCGCGUAGGCGGCCUGCUAAGUCGGACGUGAAAUCCCUCGGCUCAACCGGGGAACUGCGUCCGAUACUGGUGGGCUCGAAUCCGGGAGAGGGAUGUGGAAUUCCAGGUGUAGCGGUGAAAUGCGUAGAUAUCUGGAGGAACACCGGUGGCGAAGGCGGCAUCCUGGACCGGUAUUGACGCUGAUGCGCGAAAGCCAGGGGAGCAAAC